UACGUAGGGUGCGAGCGUUAAUCGGAAUUACUGGGCGUAAAGCGUGCGCAGGCGGCUUUGCAAGACAGAUGUGAAAUCCCCGGGCUCAACCUGGGAACUGCAUUUGCGACUGCAAGGCUAGAGUACGGCAGAGGGGGAUGGAAUUCCGCGUGUAGCAGUGAAAUGCGUAGAUAUGCGGAGGAACACCAAUGGCGAAGGCAAUCCCCUGGGCCUGUACUGACGCUCAUGCACGAAAGCGUGGGGAGCAAACAGG
rnacentral:rRNA from 1 species